AUGAGGCCACUGUGGUGUCGUGGCUGGUGGCUGGGACUGCUGGCCCCCUGGAGCUGCCUGCAGGCCCGCGAGGAUGGUUUUUGAGGGCACGGAGGAGGGCUCCACCGCGAGAGUACCUUUUACUCAACAGGUAUAGCGGGCAGAGGCGAGUCCCCGGACAAGUGCACCUAACGUUCAUUGUGCCCCAGCAGCUGGUGCACGGGAGCCAUAUGGCGUCAAUUCCAAGGAGCCCGAAGGUGCUCUGGAGAACCGCGUGCAUAAGCAGGAGCUUGGGAGCUGCUCAACAACGAGCUGGCUCAAGCAGAAAGCGGCAAGAUCGAGACGCUGCAACAGCUGGGUGGAGGUGGAGGUGGCAUCGUGAAGUGAGGGUGAAGCUGCUGCGCAAGGAGAGCCGCAAUAUGGAACUCACGCGUCACAGUAUCAGCUCUACAUGCAGCUACUGCACGAGUAUUCAUCGUAAGCGAGACAAUGCCGUUGGAGCUCUCCCCAGCUUUGGAGAACGCGCAUCCUCACCAGACGGCCGACAUGCUGCAGCUGGCCAGCAAGUACUCAAGGACCUGGAGCACAAGUACCAGCACCUGGCCGACACUGGCCCAACAACCUAAAUCGGAGGUCAAAUCGCGCAGCGCUCGAGGAAGCACUGCAGAGGGUGCCUGCAGCCAGGCCUGUUGCCCCAGACGCCCUGCGGCCCCGCCACAGGUCUACAGCCGCCACCUAAACAACCGCAUUCAUCAACCCAGAAUUCUCUUUAACCCAUGAGAUCCAGAGGCGACCAGAACCUGAAGGUGCUGCACCCCUCUGCCACCAUGCCUGCCCUCUCACGCAGCCUCCCAUCCUCUACAGACCCACCUCAAGGCCCAUGGAGAGACUGUCUGCAGGCCCUAGAGGAUGGUCAUGACACUAGUUCCAUCUACCUGGUAAAGCCUGAGAAUACUAACCGCCUCAUGCAGGUGUGGUGUGACCAGAGACAUGACCCUGGGGGCUGGACUGUCAUCCAGAGGCGCCUGGAUGGCUCUGUCAACUUUUUCAGGAACUGGGAGACAUACAAGCAAGGGUUUGGGAACAUUGAUGGCGAAUACUGGCUGGGCCUGGAGAACAUCUACUGGCUGACGAACCAAGGCAACUACAAACUACUUGUGACCAUGGAGGACUGGUCUGGUCGCAAGGUCUUUGCAGAAUAUGCCAGCUUCCGCCUGGAGCCGGAGAGCGAGUAUUACAAACUUCGGCUGGGGCGCUACCAUGGCAAUGCAGGAGAUUCCUUCACCUGGCACAAUGGCAAGCAGUUCACCACUCUGGACAGAGACCAUGAUGUCUACACAGGAAACUGUGCCCACUACCAGAAGGGAGGUUGGUGGUAUAAUGCCUGUGCCCACUCUAACCUCAAUGGGGUCUGGUACCGCGGGGGCCAUUACCGGAGUCGCUACCAGGAUGGGGUCUACUGGGCUGAGUUCCGAGGAGGUUCCUACUCGCUGAAGAAAGUGGUGAUGAUGAUCCGGCCCAACCCCAACACCUUCCACUAAGCCUGCUCCCCUCCUGGUCCUCCUGUGGCCAUCACCAGGAGUUGCCCUGGCCAUGCAGCCCCAACACAACUCCUUUCCAGUUCACCUUGGGGCUGGGAAGAUGGGAUGCUGAAUUCUGCUUUCCAAAGUCACUGUGCCACAUUAACAGAACUGGACUGAUAAGAGUGUUUUCUGUCCCUUCUACUUUCCUUCACACCAGACAGCCUUUCAGCUUCCCAGGACAGGAUGGGAAUACAGGCAACUCUUUCUUUAAAUCAAUUAAAUCCUCCAACAAAAACACAAGUGCAAACACCUUUAUUACAUACAUGUAUAUGAGCCUCCCUGUGCACUUAUGUGCAUACCAUAUGUACGUGCACUUAGAUACAUAUCACAUGUGAUAUGUGUGGACAUCUAUAUGGAUUUGCCAUAUACACCUAAAUAUUCUAUAUUUGAUUCUCAGAUACUGAAGCUGUCACCAACAGUUGUUCUUCAGAGGAAAGCAUUUCCUUAAUGCUGUGUUACUUGAGUCGAAGGGUAGAACACAGUCUGUGUCGCCCCAAUUCAAAGAGUAAUCCUUGCAUCCACGUGCUCAGAUUCUCCCAGGAAUGUCUACAAGACUCAUCUCUCACAUAGGGGUUCCUGGCCUCCCCGCUGAAGAACCCCUCUGGGCACCUAAUCAAACUUCAAAAUCCCUCUCCCAGUCCAUUGUUAUACUUUCCCUCUUUCUCAGGACCUCUCCACAUCCUUCCACCCAGCUAACCCCUCAUUCAGCACCUUCUGAGCCUCAGUCCCUGGCUGCUCACUGGAGUUCGAGGCACCUCUUCUACCUUCUCCCCUUGCCUCUCCUUUUCUGCCACACAGGUCUUUCUUUCCAGGCAAGAUUCUUUAGCCUCUGAGGAGGAAAGAGUGUGGGCUCAGGUUCUGGCUGGUAAGGUAAGCCAGGCCAAAGGCAAGACUAGCGGCUGUAUAGAUUGUGUAGUCACAGUUUUGUAUCUUCCAUUCAUACUUUAGCCUCCACAUCAUUUUAACCUUCACACAAAUAGUAGCCUGCCUUGCCAGAGACACUCAGCUGAAGAGAAGUCACUGCCAGUGUGUUGAGGCCUCCAGAUGGCCACAGACCUGAGGUCCCAUGCUCAGGUGAACCAGAGUCUGCACCUCAUCCCCUGGAUGACAGGGCCAUGUGAGAGAGAACUGCCCACUUCAAUGAGUUGCUGAACUAUCAAGGGUCGGUGGACCCUGUGGCUGGUGCACCGCAGCAUGGUGCUUCCUGAGUCCUGCUGGGCUCAGUGCUACUGGGACAAUUAACAAGCCAGGGGCAAGAGAUGAGUCUGGAAGGUGAGACCCUCCCAGUGGGCAUGUGGGCUGGGUGUGUGAGGUGUGGGGCGUUUGGUACUGUCUGCAUCUGGGUGCGUGCCUAUUACCUCAGCAUUUCUCACAGUGUACCAUGUAGCAUGUUCUGUGUAUAUAAAAGGGAGGUUUUUUUUUUUUUAAUAUAUUCCAAGAUUAUCCUUGUAAUGACACAAAUCUGCAAUAAAAGCCAUCAGUGCUAUGUGGAUGUAUCCGUACCAUUUGUUACUGUUUUAGAAUGCCUUCUAGGAUCUCAUGGAUCGGGGCCUCUGUAAGGGGAUUCAGCACCAGGGCACACCCCUAAAUCUCUAGAUCACACUCUGCCCCCUCAGGAGUUCUGUGCCAGCACUUCCAGCCAGUAUGGCUCUCUGAAGCCACCUCCUGCAUCUAGCUGAGUCCUGGAUAUCUCUACUGGAACUGCAGAAGCACCUACAGGCAGGGCAGUUAACACCUGAGAUACCUCUCCUCCAGGCUGGUCAUAAGUACUCAAUUGUGGGGGUCAAAACCAAGGUCUUUCUCCUUCUCCUUGCCAAGACUGCUCCUCCUCCACACCAAGCCCAUUUGGCCUCGGUGCAGGCCUUCUCUCCUCUCCCCUCACUGUCACAACAGGCUCUCACAUAAGAGCUCCAGCUCCCUUGUUCUAACCCAAGUUCCACACUAGCUGCCAGACCUAUCUCCUUGUAAAACAAAUCUGUCACUUGGAGGAUGAUUCUAGGCAUGACAGGAAACCCCAAAACCAAAAAGAAGACUAAGGGAUAUGAUUUUUUAAAAACACACCAAUUCUUCUGUCUUCCCCAAAACAAAACAUGACCAAGAUUGAAAGGCAAAUAUCAAACAAGAGAAACAUAUUUGCCACGUUGCUAUUUGUGUUAAUUACAAAUACAGGAUUAAUACUCAUGCCAUACCAAAAGCUUUCAGAAUUGGAAAGAUACAAACACUGUGAAAGAAAACUUGGUAGAGUACACAAGCACCUUAGAUGUCACAAAUAAAUAAGGAAAGAUGUCAACCUCAAAAGGAACCAGGGAGAUACAUUAAAUGAAGGAUAAGCCAUCACAUGUUUACUUCUCAGGUUGGCAAAGAUGAAAACGCUGCCAAAUCUGCAUGUCGAAGAAGGGAUCAAAAACAUGUACUUCCAGCACUAUGGACAGAACUAUAAAUUGACUCAGUAUUUUUGAAGAGUCAUUCAGUAUAUCAAAAACUUAAGUGCAUUUAUGCCCUUUCUUACUUAUGCAGUGUUUCCUUAUCACUAAGCAAAACAACCACCAGAGAGAUUUUUCUAGUCAGUUGUGGGUAGCGCUUACUACAUGAUCAGAAGAGAGCUUACAUUUUUAUUUCACCUUUACAUAGCUCUGUAAAGGAGGGAUUAUUAUUCCUACUCUACAGAAGAGGAGUGAAGCAAGGAUGCCUAACAGGAAUUAAUCCAGAGGGCACUGGGUGUCAGGCCCUGAGCAUGAAUUCUCCAACCUCCUAGUCAGUUGUUAGGAUCACAGUGGAACCUGCAUGCUGCUUAUGAAAAUGUCCCAAACCUUGACACAGACCACAGACACACCCUCCCUACACAUCUGGAGAAGACUAGGAGGAUGAAGGGAGCAAGAACAAAGGAAAACAAGGUGCAUUCUUCUUAUUCACUAGUCUUGGGUCCAAGCCCCAAAGCAGACAGCUCUGGGAAGCCAAGCUGGGCAGUGUGAACCACCCUUUUUCUUUUUCAUUUGGGAUCCAAAUGAAAGUCAGCUACGACACCACCAACUAUUACCACCUCUCAGCACCUGAUCCGUGUCUUAUCCAGCCACACCCUAGCCAUGUGGAAGAACAAGGAACAAGGUCCUCAGAUCUGCAGCCUGCUCUUCCUGGAGUAAACUGGGAAGGAAGAGGUUAGUUUACUAGGCUGCAGCAUGGAACAAGAGCAUGGGAGAUGGGGGGUAAGGGGAAGGCUGUGCUCAGGGGCUCUGAACUGAGUGAGCUGCUCCCUCACCAGCAAACACAGGUAGUCAGCAUCCUCAGGUCUGGCCAAGCCAGAGGGUCUCUGACUCUAGCCAGGGAUCUUUGUAGGCCCACAAUCAUACAAGCUCUAACAACACUGAGUUCUUUCUCCAGGUGGGGAGACAGGAGUCGACAAAGCCCAGAUGUUCUCAGGACCCAGCCAAACCUCCAUAUCCCCAUUUUGUCCAGUACCUUGAACAGUGAUUGAUGUUCUCCAAGCAAG